CGACUCUCGGCAACGGAUAUCUCGGCUCACGCAUCGAUGAAGAACGUAGCAAAAUGCGAUACUUGGUGUGAAUUGCAGGAUCCCGUGAACCAUCGAGUUUUUGAACGCAAGUUGCGCCCGAAGCCACCCGGUUGAGGGCACGUCUGCCUGGGCGUCACG
rnacentral:rRNA from 1 species